AUUGAACGCUGGCGGCAUGCCUUACACAUGCAAGUCGAACGGUAACAGGUCUUCGGAUGCUGACGAGUGGCGAACGGGUGAGUAAUACAUCGGAACGUGCCCGAUCGUGGGGGAUAACGGAGCGAAAGCUUUGCUAAUACCGCAUACGAUCUACAGAUGAAAGCAGGGGACCGCAAGGCCUUGCGCGGACGGAGCGGCCGAUGGCCGAUUAGGUAGUUGGUGGGAUAAAAGCUUACCAAGCCGACGAUCUGUAGCUGGUCUGAGAGGACGACCAGCCACACUGGGACUGAGACACGGCCCAGACUCCUACGGGAGGCAGCAGUGGGGAAUUUUGGACAAUGGGCGAAAGCCUGAUCCAGCCAUGCCGCGUGCAGGAUGAAGGCCUUCGGGUUGUAAACUGCUUUUGUACGGAACGAAAAGACUCUUUCUAAUAAAGAGGGUCCAUGACGGUACCGUAAGAAUAAGCACCGGCUAACUACGUG
rnacentral:rRNA from 1 species